GGCACUAUGGCGGAGUGGUUAACGCGAUGCCCUGCUAAGGCAUUUCCUUCGGGAGCGCAGGUUCGAAUCCUGCUGGUGUCG
rnacentral:tRNA from 11 species